AGAGUUUGAUCCUGGCUCAGAACGAACGCUGGCGGCAGGCUUAACACAUGCAAGUCGAACGCUCAUCUUCGGAUGGGAGUGGCAGACGGGUGAGUAACGCGUGGGAACGUACCCUUCAGUUCGGAAUAACCCAGGGAAACUUGGGCUAAUACCGGAUACGUCCGAGAGGAGAAAGAUUUAUCGCUGAAGGAUCGGCCCGCGUCGGAUUAGCUAGUUGGUGAGGUAACGGCUCACCAAGGCAACGAUCCGUAGCUGGUCUGAGAGGAUGAUCAGCCACACUGGGACUGAGACACGGCCCAGACUCCUACGGGAGGCAGCAGUGGGGAAUAUUGGUCAAUGGGCGCAAGCCUGAACCAGCCAUGCCGCGUGAGUGAAGAAGGCCUUAGGGUUGUAAAGCUCUUUCAGCGGGGACGAUAAUGACGGUACCCGCAGAAGAAGCCCCGGCUAACUUCGUGCCAGCAGCCGCGGUAAUACGAAGGGGGCUAGCGUUGUUCGGAAUUACUGGGCGUAAAGCGCGCGUAGGCGGGCAUUUAAGUCAGGGGUGAAAUCCCAGGGCUCAACCCUGGAACUGCCUUUGAUACUGGAUGCCUGGAGUUCGGGAGAGGUGAGUGGAAUUCCGAGUGUAGAGGUGAAAUUCGUAGAUAUUCGGAGGAACACCAGAAGCGAAGGCGGCUCACUGGCCCGAUACUGACGCUGAGGCGCGAAAGCGUGGGGAGCAAACAGGAUUAGAUACCCCAGUAGUCC
rnacentral:rRNA from 2 species